UUGACCCUUGUCCACAUGAGCUUAGUAGCUCAUGCAUAGGACCCUUCUUGUUGGGAUAGCCAUUGACAAAUGCCAUGUGACAUGAUUUUGGUUGUGUUGAUGCUCUUUGCUAGCAUUCCCUUAUUUUGUCAGUGUUAGGUACACACAUAACCAUUCAUCUCUGCUCCAUACUGAUUGAAAAGUAUACUCCUACAUACUUUACCUGAUGUAAUUACAACCAUCCUCCAUGCUAAUCUACUUUUGUCCUUUAUCUUUUGCUAGACUGCUGACCCUGAUCUAGGUGUUCCUUUAUCUUUUUGCUAGCUUCUAGAGAAUGACUAAUUUAUUGUUUACUUUUUUUUUAAUGAUAUCAGUCUUGUCAGGUAGAUCUGGUGAAAGAUGGUGGUCACACAUAUUUUAUCAAGUUUCAUGAUAGCAUGGAUGCCUAUGCUGAGCAGCGAGCAAUGGCUGCUUUUGUCUUGGCAGUUGUAGUGGAUGGACAUCGGCGGGGACAAGAAGCAUGUAUUCAAGCAAAUUUGUUAAAUCUCUGGGAAGAUUUUCUAGAAGUACAAAUCAUAGGUUCUCAUGCAGAUGGAGUAGCAACUAUUUUACCUUAAUUGUUGGGACCAUAGCCUGAGGUAGAAUUUAUACAUCUUUGUAGUCUAUGUUUUACUAGGAAAAUUCUUGUAGUUCAACAUCUGUUUGGCAGGUUAGAGCUUCUGCUAUUUUUGCUUUAGGGAUUCUUAUUGAUGUUGCAUCUAUCACAUUUGAUAAUGGACAUAGAGUUGAUGAGGACUUUGAGGAUAAUGAAAAGUUAAAGUCUGAGUUGAAUAUCAUUAAAAAUCUUCUACAACUUGCUGUGGAUGGAAGUCCUUUGGUGAGGACUGAGGUUGCUGUAGCUCUUGCUCGCUUUACAGGCUAACACACUCAGGUAUGAAACAAAUGAAGACAUGUCUAUAGCACAGGCUAUUAAGCUAGUCAUGGAGAGGCAUUCAAUAUGAUGCAUUAUUAAUGAAUUAAGUCUACUUUAUGAGAUUUCAGAUUUUUUUAUUAUUCAUAGGCAUUUAGUUUAGAUCAAGUGACAUUUCUUUAUCUUCUUCUUACAGGUGGAGUUUGAAGGAUUAGGAGAAUUAAGAAGCAAGGAU